GAUGAAGAACGUAGCGAAAUGCGAUAAGUAGUGUGAAUUGCAGAAUUCAGUGAAUCAUCGAAUCUUUGAACGCACAUUGCGCCCGCCAGUAUUCUGGCGGGCAUGCCUGUUCGAGCGUCAUUUCAACCCUCAAGCCCUGCUUGGUGUUGGGGAUCGGCGUUGCCUCCUCCGUCGUUCGCGGCGGGGUGAGGUCGCCGCCCCCGAAAUGAAUUGGCGGUCUCGUCGCAGCUUUCCUUUGCGUAGUAACAUACCACCUCGCAACCAGGAGCGCGGCGCGGCCACUGCCGUAAAACGCCCAACUUUUUCAAGAGUUGACCUCGAAUCAGGUAGGAAUACCCGCUGAACUUAAGCAUAUCAAAAGCGGAGGA
rnacentral:misc_RNA from 1 species